rnacentral:rRNA from 1 species
UACGUAGGGCGCAAGCGUUGUCCGGAAUUAUUGGGCGUAAAGAGCUCGUAGGCGGUCUGUCGCGUCCGUUGUGAAAACUCGAGGCUCAACCUCGGGCUUGCAGUGGAUACGGGCAGACUAGAGUGCGGUAGGGGAGACUGGAAUUCCGGGUGUAGCGGUGAAAUGCGCAGAUAUCCGGAGGAACACCGGUGGCGAAGGCGGCUUCCUGGACCGACACUGACGCUGAGGCGCGAAAGCUAGGGGAGCAAACGGG